CAUUGUCAGCUCUUGCCAAAAUAGCCAAGGCACCCACUCUCGCCUCAGACAGCACCUCUUUUCUGAAACUGGACUCCCAGCCUGCAGCUUUGAACUUGGGCCUCCAGGUGCAUCUGUUCUUGUUCACAGGAGCCAUAGCACAGCCUUGAUGAUAAGAAUGAGCCUGAACCAGCCCCCACCGAGCUUCAGGGUCAAAUUACAAAGGCAUCGGGAGGCUCUAUCUCUUGGCUGUACAUCCAACUUCCUGCCUUGAUGGAGCAGACACUAAAAAUGCAACAACUCUCUCACACGGGGUCCAUGGAAUAACUUGAUGUUGAGAAGAAGUCCUACUUCCCAAAAAGGAAGCAGAAUCCUCUUGCCCCUGGAGCCUAUGGGGCCAUCACAGGGCCAGGAGGUAACCUGAUCUCCAUCACCCAAGUAUCAUGCACGGAGCUGGGGCAAAACUCUGUCAAAGAUCACAAACAAAUUACUCAGUCAAAUGUAUCCGAGCCACCUCUGGUUCCUCACUUUUGUGUACAAGACAAUUGAACUUCUGAUAUUUGGUUCUGGCCCACUCAGCACUUCAGAGCCUUCAGCCGACCAUAACCCUGCCUCCCAGAGCUUAGAUCAAGCCAAAUAAGGAGCUCUACUCCUUUCCCAUAUAUCUGACCUAGCCCAUCACUGAAUUCCAUUUCUGCUAAAUACCGUGAUAGCACAGUGGGUCAGCACCCAAGUUCUGGAGCUACACUACCUGGGUUCAAAUUCUGGUUCUUAAUACUAAUAGGACCUCUAGCAAGUUAUUCGACCUGUGCCUUGGCUUAGUUUUCCCACGUGCAAAAUGGGGUUAAUAAAAACACCCAACAAAUAAAGUUGCAAGGACUCAGUGAAUUAGUACGCAGAAGGGCUCAUCAUAUUGUAAGUUGGCUAUUGGUGCUAUUUCUGGUUUGAUCUAAACACUCUCCACACCCAGAAAGAACACAUCCCAGGGCUUGCAGCAGCUCACACUGCAGACCACACUAAACAGCCCUCCCAACCCCUCUUCUCACCUAUCACCUCUCAGAGAACCAGCUAGAGACUGGCCUGGAAGCCGUUCAACAUAGACAAGGAUGCUCUUUGAAGCUGGCUGGGUAUGGCCUUAAAUAACUCACAAGCCAGCUACCUCCUCUGUUUUCCCUCAUGCCGCACAAAUGGCUUCACUAACUUCAGGCCUCACUUUGAACCCUCACAUCAUUUCCUGACAUUGCUGGUGCCUGGCCUGGAGGCAGCACCUUACACAGUAAGGAAAAGCAGCUGCUCAUUACCUCGCCUCCCCACCUCCAUUAGGAUAAAAAUCACCUCCCAAGAUGGGACUCUACAGCCAGAGGGUGAAUUGGUGACCUCAUUGCUCGGCUCACUAGGUUCCAGGCAUCCCUAAAUGCCAGUGAUCUUUCCUUUCCCUCUGAUGUGUCGAUGCCAGCCUUUCAGUGGCCAGGAUCCCUCCCCUGGCCCCCAGCCUGGUUGUAGAACCACCCUGGCGUGUCAAAGGACUCUGGAUUCCAAAUGGCAUGUUUAGAAGUGUGUUUACUGCCUGUGUUCGUGGUUUUCUACCAUCAGGACACCGACUGUUGAAAGCAAAGUUCAAGCCAGGUUGGUGCAAGUUGCAGAAGCAGAAAAAGGAUUCUACG
rnacentral:lncRNA from 1 species